rnacentral:RNase_P_RNA from 1 species
GGGGUUGGCCAGGCAAUCGCGUCACUACUUCGGUAGUGCCGAGGAACGUCCGGGCUCCCUAGAGCAGGACGGUGGGUAACGCCCACCCGGAGCAAUCCGCGAGAUAGUGCCACAGAAAAUAGACCGCCUAGGAAACUGGGUAAGGGUGAAACGGUGGUGUAAGAGACCACCAGAGGUUCGGGUGACCGAAUCUGCUCGGUAAACCUCGUCCGGAGCAAGGUCAAACAGACACCCAUCAGGUUGCUCGCCUGAGUGUCGGGUAGGCCGCUAGAGAUAUUUGGUAACAGGUAUCCGAGAAAGAUGAUUGCCACCGAGGUAACUCGGGACAGAACCCGGCGUACCGGCCAGCCCCGCCA